UUCAGAGAUCACAGUUCCUGACGUGUUUAAUACAUAGAAGUUCCUAUUUAAAGAAUGAUAGUAUAUGAUGAAUCGACACUGAAACAAACUUUCGAUACAACCGAAAAUACUAGAAUCUUUGACAUUACGGAUAGCGGGAGGGUGAUAGAUACACCGAACAAUGCCUUUAUGUUAGGACUAUCUGUCCUAGGAUUUAUUUUGGUCAUGUCUAUUAUGAUAGCCUUACUAAAUGUUUUCGACAGAGUGCGAUGCAGAUAAAUAUUGAAGUGGUCGAUAUUACCUGAUUCAAAACACAUUCCGUGUUCGGCAUAAGCGUUGCAACUACAAAAAGAAUCACAGGUUCUCAAAAUGGACAAUACGAUCAUUGAUCAUUUUGAUCCUUAGGAAAAAGAAUGUAUAGUCAUGAUGAUCACCAACUAACAGAAAAAGAAUUGUCUGCGUUGCAAAAUUCAUCGAGUAUAUAUUGUAUUUUUUUUUAAUUCGUCUCAGAAAACAUGGUUCUCAUAAAUACAUACUAGUAACACUACCACUAUCACUGAUUCACAGAAAUCUAUUGUCGACAGGUUGUUCAAGUAUGGUGCAUGUGCUUUAUAACAGAGAAUACUUGUUAGUUUCAGGAUCAUGUAAAUAAAUUAUAAGAUACUGAUAAUUUUUUUAAAAAUCUACAUAUAAAGAUAUGAUACAUACACUUGAAAUAGAUAUUUAUGAAUA